rnacentral:rRNA from 1 species
CAGCCGCCACGGUAAUACAGAGGGUGCGAGCGUUAAUCGGAUUUACUGGGCGUAAAGCGUGCGUAGGCGGCUUCUUAAGUCGGAUGUGAAAUCCCUGAGCUUAACUUAGGAAUUGCAUUCGAUACUGGGAAGCUAGAGUAUGGGAGAGGAUGGUAGAAUUCCAGGUGUAGCGGUGAAAUGCGUAGAGAUCUGGAGGAAUACCGAUGGCGAAGGCAGCCAUCUGGCCUAAUACUGACGCUGAGGUACGAAAGCAUGGGGAGCAAACAGGAUUAGAUACCCGAGUAGUCCCUGUCUCUUAUAC